CACGUAGGCGGACUCUUAGGUCAGGGGUGAAAUCCUGGAGCUCAACUCCAGAACUGCCUUUGAUACUGGGGGUCUUGAGUUCGGGAGAGGUGAGUGGAACUGCGAGUGUAGAGGUGAAAUUCGUAGAUAUUCGCAAGAACACCAGUGGCGAAGGCGGCUCACUGGCCCGAUACUGACGCUGAGGUGCGAAAGCGUGGGGAGCAAACA
rnacentral:rRNA from 1 species